rnacentral:misc_RNA from 1 species
AAAUGCGAUAAGUAAUGUGAAUUGCAGAAUUCAGUGAAUCAUCGAAUCUUUGAACGCACAUUGCGCCCGCCAGUAUUCUGGCGGGCAUGCCUGUUCGAGCGUCAUUUCAACCAUCAAGCCCCCGGCUUGUGUUGGGGACCUGCGGCUGCCCGCAGGCCCUGAAAAACAGUGGCGGGCUCGCUGUCACACCGAGCGUAGUAGCAUACAUUCUCGCUCAGGGCGUGCUGCGGGUUCCGGCCGUUAAACGACCUUCAUAACCCAAGGUUGACCUCGGAUCAGGUAGGAAGACCCGCUGAACUUAAGA